rnacentral:rRNA from 1 species
CGCGUAGGCGGCGCAACAAGUCACUUGUGAAAUCUCCGGGCUUAACCCGGAGCGGCCAAGUGAUACUGUCGUGCUAGAGUGCGGAAGGGGCUACUGGAAUUCUCGGUGUAGCGGUGAAAUGCGUAGAUAUCGAGAGGAACACCUGCGGCGAAGGCGGGUAGCUGGGCCGACACUGACGCUGAGGCGCGAAAGCCAGGGGAGCGAACG